GAUGAACGCUAGCGGCAGGCCUAACACAUGCAAGUCGAGGGGCAGCGGGAAGUGCUUGCACUUUGCCGGCGACCGGCGCACGGGUGCGCACCGCGUAUGGAACCUACCUUCUACAGGGGAAUAGCCCAGGGAAACUUGGAUUAAUGCCCCGUGGUACCGGCUAACAGCAUUGUUUACCGGUUAAAGGCUUCGGCCGGUAGAAGAUGGCCAUGCGUCCCAUUAGCUCGAUGGUAGGGUAACGGCCUACCAUGGCUACGAUGGGUA
rnacentral:rRNA from 1 species